CACUCCGCCCACUGCCCCACCUCCUAUCUCCAACUCCUCCAGGCAAUCCAGAAGGACACCAUGGUUGAAGGUUUUGAAUGCCACCAAGAGAUCCAAAUGAACCAACACACUGCUUGCUGAUUCCCUGGUAAAGGUAAUCCAUCAGGCCAACCAAGACUUUCUCAACCACACAAUCAGCUCUAAAGCCUGUUUGAAAUGGGUCUAGAUAAUCAGUUUCCUCCAAAACCACCUGGAGCUGGUUCACCACAACUUUCUCUAUCACCUUGCACAACCAUGGGAGACUGGAGACUGGCCUGUAACUAUGCAUUGCUAAGGGAUCCAGGGAAGGCGCGCAUGCGUAUUGCUCGUAGAAAGACUUGCAGGCGACAAUGGGGGCAGGGGCGGCGGCGAAGAACGCUGCCGCCCCAAAAACUUCGCAUUUUACUACAGCGCCGGAGGGGGAAAAGCGGUGGGAGGGGUAAGUUCUACCCCCCCCGCCCUUAAAGGGAGACCCCCCCCUCAGUGCCGGUCCGGACCAUGCACACCCCUAUUGUCCACAUCCUCAGGAAUCACAGAUUGAAACUGAUCUAAUCUAGCACUGAAAAAGGGAUUGCUGGGCACCCUCUUAAUAAACUUUGCAGAAAUAGUGGAGUCCAAGUUGGACCGCAUACAAGAGAUAAGAUGAGGAGGAGGAGGUGGUGGAGUUGGAAUAUGGAAUAGCCUCCCCAGUGAGGUUCACCUGGGUUUGUCAUUUUGUUCUUUUAGAUGCCGGGUAAAGACCUUUUUGUUGACCCAGGUCUUUUAAAUUCUGGUUUUCAGAUUUGAUGAUAUUUAACUAAUUUUAAAAUGAAUUUUUAAGUUUUUAAACUACUUUGUAUUAUAUUGUAUUUUUUUUUCUUUUUUGUCUGUUAUGAUUUAAUGUGAUGUGUUUUUAUUAUAUGUUUUAAUCCUUUGUUGUGAGUUGCCCAGAGAACAAUUUGUUAUGGGGCGGCUAAUGAAGAAGAAGAGGAGGAGGAGGAAGAGGAAGAAGAGGAGGAGGAGCAGUAGCAAACAAUAAAUAAUAAUUCCUGCAUUGUUAUCAGUCUACAGCCCAGCAGUGACAGUCCUACUCUUCUGUGCAUGUGUGGUCUGAUCAAGGCACAGAAUUUCUAGGGAUCUGCAUGAAUAUGUGCACAAGAUCUGGACCAACCUAUGAAACUGGAUGGGUCAUCAGUGUGAUAAGCAGGUUGCCUGCUCACCAGUGGUGAGUGCCUCCCAGCCCUCCAGGCAGGACAGAUCUCUUCCCCAGAGGUAUCAUUUCCACUGCCAUUUCUGAGAAGGCAGAACGCAGCAGGAAUCCUUUCUGAGACGUAAAAGAGAGCUCCCACUGUUUCCUACCUCUUCACAUUCCAGUACAAAUGACGGAAGACCUGCUUCUCUCCUAAGACCUCUGCCUGUGUGCCAGAAAAGGAUUUGAUGGAAGAGAGGCGAUUGGUGGUGGUGACCACAAAUAAUGGCUGGCUAAUGAGCUAAGUCUAAAUGUGUGGAAACCCUGGUGAAAUGUUAGCACAUCUAAAUUGGUUAGGCAUCCUAAUUGGUUGUGCUAGCAACAGACUCACUAAUCAAAUAAAAUAGUCAAAGCCAAGAAUCAUCAUAAAAGAGUCAUUUUAUGACUCAUUUAAUAACAAAGUUAUGCAUGCUUCGUUCUCACUGAAGCAAUAAGCCUGUGUCUGGGCUGUGCCCAGGGGUGCUGUUAGGCAUGGACCUGGGGGCCCAGGUCCAUGUGCCCACUUUCCUAGAAAGUCUCAUGAUGUUUCCCAAAGGAAAAAAGGACCCCCUUUAUUUUUUUGGAAUGGCUUGGCCUAGAGUUAUGAAAUUUGGCACAGAUCAUUUAUUUAUUUAUUUAUUUAUUUGAUUUUUAUACCGCCCUUCCAAAAUGGCUCAGGGCGGUGAACACUAGCAUGAGAAGCAGCUCUUGGGGUGAUGCUAAUAGUAUCUGUACAGGAGAAACAUUAAAUAAUUUCCUUCUGAAAACCAACACGGAAAAUAAUAAGUUACACCAGGAUAUCAUGUACAUCUGCACAUUCUUUAUACAGUUAUUUUGUUAAGACCAUCAAUCAAAAUAAAGGGCAUAUUUAUUAAGUAUUCCCUCAUGGCAAUGACACCCACAUCAGAGAUUAUCCAUUUAGAAAUAGGAUAAUUCUUGUGUUCAUAAUGAAAAUAUGCCCCCACCCCCAAAUGCAGUGCUUUAUCUGUCAUUUCCUUCAGUAGUAUUACAAGUAAAAUAAACAUUAACAUUGUUUGCAAUUGCAUGGAAUGUGCUCUCCCAAAGUCAUAGGGCAUGAAAGUGAGUGUUUAAGCUAGAGUAAAACAUGGAAGCCACAGGACAGUUCCAUUUGGAACCUCCAUGAUAUUGAUCAAGACAAUGCAAGCUGAGCAUUCCAGGUCUUUUGCAACCAAUUCCUAUGAAAAUCAUGUUAGUCACUUAAGAAGCUAUCUGUUUUCCCCUAAGUGGGGGGAGGAGGGGAAACUCCUCUUAACGACAGGUUUUGACGUCACCUGCCCGACCUCUUCUAACAUUUUGACACAUCUGAGAUGAAUUUGCUAUGUAAUUCCGCAGUAAAUUGUAACAAUUGUUCAGAGAUUUAUUGCUGUAUUUUUCUUGUCUACAUGAUUAUAUCUUUGGCUGAUGCUUCCGGGCUGUAAUUGUAUGGUAAUUCUGUGUGUUUAUGACUGAUGCUUAUAAUAUAUUUGUUUUCUAAGGCACUCUUGUUUAACAAA